UGGAAGUAAAAGUCGUAACAAGGUUUCCGUAGGUGAACCUGCGGAAGGAUCAUUAAAAAAUAUCACAUUUGUUUGUGAUUUAAUAAUCAUCCUACCCUUUGUGAAUUUGUUUUUGUUUGAAAUUUAUGUUGUCUAUCCCUGGAUUAUGAAAGAAAAGUUGUAAAAGACUUUUUUUUCAUUCUAGGGAAUAGGCUUUCAUAGACAUUUUUUUAAAUUAAACUUUUUGUAUUCAUUUGUCUAAAAUUUAUUUUUAAAUAAUUUAAAAACAACUUUUGACAAUGGAUCUCUUGGUUCUCGCAACGAUGAAGAACGCAGCAAAAUGCGAUAAGUAAUGUGAAUUGCAGAAUACGUGAAUCAUCAAAUUUUCGAACGCAUAUUGCACUUUUUUAGUUUACUAAAAAGUAUGUCUGUUUGAGUAUCAGUAAAAUAUUCUCAUAAAAACUAUUGUUUUUAUGGUUAUGAUGUUUUACAACGAUAACAAGUUAUUUCACUUUAAAUUGAUUUUUUUAAUAAGCCAAUUUGGUUUUAUUUUUAAAAUUGGAUAAAAUUUUCCCGUAAAAAGGAAUAAACUUUUCAGUUUUAAAGUUAAAACUUAAAUUGACCUACAAAAAAGGAAAUUUAAUUAUAAAACUAACUUGAUCUCAAAUCAGAUAAGAGUACCCGCUGAACUUAAGCAUAUCAAUAAGCGGAGGAAAAGAAACUAACAAGGAUUCCCUUAGUAACGGCGAGUGAAGCGGGAAGAGCUCAAUUUGAAAUCUUCAAGGUUCUACCUUGACGAAUUGUAGUUUAAAGAAGUGUUUUCUGUUAGUGGAGUGGCAAAAGUUCUUUGGAAUAGGACAUCAUAGAGGGUGAGAAUCCCGUAUUUGGUCAUUCCUUCUAGCUUUGUGAUACACUUUCAAAGAGUCGGAUUGUUUGGGAAUGCAGUCAAAAUGGGUGGUGAAUUUCAUCUAAGCUAAUAUUGGCGAGAGACCGAUAGCGAGCAAGUACCGUGAGGGAAAGACUGAAAAGAACUUUGAAAAGAGAGUUAAACAGUACGUGAAAUUGUCAAAGGGAAGCGUUUGACACCAGUGUUGUUUUUCCGAAAAUCAAUUAUAAAAUGUUUUGUUUCUGAGGAGUGAUGACUUCAUCGGCUUCCUUCUCUCUUCACGAAACUUUUGUAAUGCACUUUUCGGUUAACAAGUCAACAUCAAUUUCUUUUGUUGUAAAAGAGUAUUCGGAAGGUGCUUUCUUUUCGGAGAAAGUGUUUAUAGCCCUAAAUACUUCUACAAUCGGAGAGAUUGAGGUCUGCAGCGUAGAUCCUUCGGGUUAGAUACACUUGUGCUAAGUUAUAGCUUUUCAUAGACAACUUGUUGACUAUGUUUAGUCUUG
rnacentral:misc_RNA from 1 species